CACGUUGCACUGCUGCCCUGUGGCAGGUGCUCUGCACCCCCAGCCCAGCCCUCUUCGAGUGGGCUUCCUCCCUGGAUGGGCCCUGAGCCAGGCCAGGGGUGUUGCAGGGCUGGGCACAGGCUCUGAGUGCAGGACUAGCCCAGAGACCCGUGGAGGCGUCCUCUGAGCUGAGUCCAGACCUGGGUUGGGCCUGCAGGAGACUCUGAGUGCAGCAGCCCUCACCACGCACACAGUCAGGCUGGCCUGAAGCCCUGGAAUCCUGGCCAAGACGGGAAAGAGGUAACCGGCUUCUCAAAGAGCCUCACGGUACCAUGGGCACAGCCCCCACACUUAGGCUGCGGUCUGGGGGUGUCCGUGUGGGGCCCCAGGCCGUUCCGGGCUGGUUGCACGGCAGUCGGAGGUUCCACGACAAGCAUGCCGUGGACAGCAGGUCCUCGGCGGGCGGUGGACUCAGACCUGGGGACUGUCCAGGGUGUCCCAGCAGAGGCCGCAGCUGCAGCAGCGUCUGGGCUGGGGGAAGUGGGGCUGGGUGCCCAAGGUGGGGCAGAGCCUGGCUGGCUGCUGAGUGACAGCGGUGCUGCCUUUGGGGGGCGCGGGACGCUGGGGCUCCAUGCGAGGCAGCUCCCGCUCAGCCCUGACAGCCAGGAAGGCGGCCAGGUCGAGGUCCAGCAUGGCCACCCCUCCACGGGGUGUGGGUGUGCUCUGGCGGCACUGCGGGCACGGGACCCAGCGCUGCUCGUGGGCCACCGUGUCCAGCCGCCGCACGCACGCCUGGCAGAAGGUGUGGCCGCAGUAGAGGCGGCGCGGCAGGUGCCCGGCCAGGUCGUAGGCUGAGUAGCAGAUGAUGCAGUCACCGCGCUGGGACCCAGUGGCAGUCCCCUCCUCGGAGACCCGGGAGCUCUCUGGCUGCAGCAUCCUGGGGGAGGCGAGCAGGGGCGCUGCAGCCCACCCUGCCUGCCUCUGCCGUCGUCUGGCACCGUUUGGGCCCCGACCCCGGGGGUGGGGGGUUGGCCUGGGCCUCUGCAGACCUGAGAGGGUGGGUGGUGGCCAGUGGACGCCGGGGCCUGGGCCCAGGCCGGGCUCCUGCGGCUGCCGACCAGGCAGCAUCCUGUCCCCCUGUUUGGGCCCUCCUGCCCAGCUCCACACCGCCCCGCAUCCCAGCCGGCCUGAGCCCCAGGCCUCUCUUACCUGCAUCCGCUCUCAUGGGCAGCUCUGUCCAGAGGAUGUCCGGGGCUUGAGGGGGGGACCCAGGCCGCCCUGCGGCUCCCUCGCUGGGGCUCGCAUUACUGGCCGAGCACAGGCGAGGCAGCAGGGAGGCAGGCAGUGGGCUCUCCUUUCAGCCACAAAGCGCUUGCAACUGGAUCCACCAGGCACCACCAACUCAGCAGGAGAUAAAGAAAGCUCUCCGGCCUUGACCUGCAUGUCUCCAUCCUUCGGCUCCCAGCUCGAACACCGCCUCUUCCAGGUAACCUGCUACAACCCUCACGGGCUCCGAGCCCCGAGGGGUCCUGCUCCCCCAAAGCUCAAUCAUAGUGUGUGUGUCCAAGUUGAUUUGUCCCAGCACCUUCCUCCCACCUGGUCUGUCCCCUCCGUCCCCAUCAUACGGCAGUGGCCAGCCCCACGAGGUCCCAAGGGGGUGCUCAAGCACAGGUGUGGAGACCCCCCCGCCCCCACGGACCACCCAGAACCUCCCUGAGGUGCAGGGCACUGUGGCCAGCCCUGGUCGACCCCAUUAGAGGCUACACCCCGCCCCCAGCAUCUGCCUGGCCAUAGCCCCCAGGCCAGCCCAGUGACCAUGACUGUGGGCACAGCAGAGCGGGGUGUGUCAAGAAUGGUCCGGAUGGGGUCAGGACCCUCGGCACCCUCACUACUCAGCUGGGAGGGAGUCAGAGCCAGAGGGGCUCCUCCUUACUCCUACCACCACAGCCUCUCUGUCUGGUUGGACAGGUUUCCGGGGCUGGCCCGGGUGGGGUCAUCCUCUGGUAGAGGCAGGCCAUGGGGCAGGGGCCAGGAAACUGGCACACCGGAGCCCCUGUACAGUCAGGCCAAUGACAUAUCCACCCACACCCAGAGACGGGUCUUGCCCUGUGGCCAGUCACCCUGGGUCGGGGAAGGGCUGGCACCAGGACCCGUCCAUCCAGCAAGGCCAGCUCGGCUUCCUCCUCUGGCUGGCCCUGCCUGGCCCUGGAAAGCACAGAGUGCCCAGCGCCGGCCCUACCACUCGCUCCUUGCCCUGGCAUCCCAGCCUCCCCUCGGCAGUGAGGUGAGGACAGUGCUAAGCAGCUCAGCUCCCCACUCGUCCCCCCACCCCCACCCCAGGCAGGCACAUCACCCUGCUCAGACAGAGGGGAGACAUGUUCUCCGAGGGGCCUCACCGGCCAGUUCCUUUUCUGCUCACCUCGUCCAGGAGGCCCAGGCCCUGGAGGCUGGACACCAGAGGAGCAGCAUGGCUUGGGUGCCACACAACAGAUGUGCGGGAAUGGGACAUUUCACGGGGAACCAGAAAAACACCCCGGCCGAGGACCUGCAGCUCGCCAGGAAGGAGGGCAGGAGGUGAGCCUGAAGUCAGCCUCAGCUCCCAGGCCUGCGGUGGGCUGGGGAACCCCAGCCAUCAGUCGCCUACCUCAGGACCCCUGUUUUGAGGCAGAGGGCAGAGGUCCUCACUUCAACCAACAGCCUCUGCCUGGCAGACAGAGGCUAAGAUGUCUGAGAGCACAAACUGCUCUGAGGUUUAUAGGUUUCUAACUGAUAAAAAAUGUUUUAUUUACACACCUUUGCUAAAACUGACCUUACAAUUGGCGACGACAGGGGCUUCAUUCGCAAGUGUUGUUUGUAGCUAAUUUCUGAAAAUGCAGCUUCUCUUGGCGCGCUCAGGGACCACCACCGGCUCCCCACCCCACCAGCGUCUCCCACUUUCAUCUGUAAGUUGGCAGGUAGCACCUGCCACACAGGGUCGCCGUGUGUGUGUGCGUGUGUGUGUCUGUGUGUCUGUGUGUGACGGGAUGACAAUGGAUGUGAGUACUUGGGUCUGGGCCUGGCACUGGUGAUCUUCACCCCUCGGAGCGAUUAGGGCAGUAGGGUGGGUCAAGGACCUGCGCCCCCAGUCUUUGGUGCCCAACGGAGCCCCCAGGAAGGGAGGGAUCAAAUCAGAGGUGGCCCAGAAGCCAGCGUGACCGGGGUGGCCUGCCUGAGGCCAGUCAGACCGGUCCGGACACGAAUUCCACCUUUGCGGCACCGGGGGUGGAGGGAAGCGGGCCCCGAGCCCCUCGGACUUCGCAGGUGUACGACAGAUGCUCAUUGCGCAGGCUCUAGAAGCCCCACCCACUGCCCCUACAGACUCCGCCCCUUGCUGCGAGGCGGAGGCUGGCGCAUGCGUGAAACAGGCCUAGGAUGGCCGGUGGGAACUUUAUUCCCCAGAAGCCUCCGCGUUCCAAGGUUUCUCUAAAGACCCGGUUCGGGGUCUGCUUGCUCCGGACGGUCCAGGACACGGCCUAGGCCGCUCAGCUCUGACCGCCGGAGCUCCGGAGGCGCGGAUUUGGGCGGGCUCGGGAGGUGGGCCUGAGGGGGCGGGACCUCACUCCAGGGGCGGGGCCUCGGGGCAAGGGGUGGGGCUUGGUGGCUGGUGCCUCCUUGGGUGCUCGCCCAGCGGGCGGGUGGGAAGCUGAGCAGCCCCGGAGGGAGGCCGAGGCUGGGCGCCUAGCCCUCCCCUGACCGGGGCUCUCUCAGUUGUCCAUCUUAACCAGAGCCCAUAAGGCUCUCGCUGCCCAUCCCGUCAGGCACCUGCUCACUUGCACACCUCUCACACCCGCUCUCCAUAAAUGGCUUUGGAAACUGAGACCCAGACACUAGCCUGAGGUCACACAGAGCAGCAAAGUCGGGCCCCAUGGGACAGCUACGCUGCUCCAGUCUGUUUUGCCCGCGUGGGCUUCGUCACCAGGAACAGCGACCUCUCUGAAGGAGCGGGGCAAGGCCCAUAGCCAGGCGCAGUUCGGCCUGGACAGAGCAGAGGGGCUGUGGCCAGAAGAGGCUGAGACUGUCCAGGGUCAGGCACAGGGCCCAGUGCUGGUCACUGGAGUGCUAGCCUGCCACGUGGUAGCUGGCUUAGGUCAGGGGGUGGCACUGUGGAGGUCCCCGGCAGCUGUGGUCCCCUGCCCAGUAGUUGCCAACACGUCCUCUGUCCUUUCUCUCACCUGAGGGUUCCCCACAGGCAGAGAGAGGGUAGACACCAGGGAAUCAGGGAAGCCCGGCUUGAGGAAACAGAAAGGAAUGGGGCCUCCAUGCUGGGUGGGGUCAGGUUAGCACACAAAUACGUGACAGCAGGGCACGUGCUGACCUGAUGGGAUGCCGGAAAGGGCCACCCCACCCUGGGCGGGUGCGUGUCCUCGUGGGUUGCCCCACUGGCCUGUCCAGCUGUCUGUCGGACCUUCCGCAUACCCCUCACCCUGUCCAGCUGUCCAUGAGUCCUGUCCUCGGACCCUUCUCCCAACGACUGUCCCCCUCUCCAUCCACUCCUCUGCUAGCUUGCUUGCCCACACCUACUCAGCCUCAUGGUCACAUCAUCCUCUUUGAGCCUGUCAGCGUUGAGCACAACCUGGUUACACUUGUGAGCCAGAGGCAUGCCUACUGGGGGCACAGUGGAAGGACAGCAGUGACGCUGACUCUCUGGGGGGGGGGGGACACACGGCAGUCCUGGGGGGGGGGCUAUGGGAACCAGCUUUGCUGAGACCCCCCAGUCUGCUCCUCUUGUCUUCUUCCCUCUGGCAUUAUGAGGUCUCGGCUUCGAAAAGCAGGAUUUGCCUUCUAGAAUUGGGGGUGGGGGUACUCGACUAGGACCCAGGGUCGGUCAAGCAGGACUGGGGGUGGGAGUACUGGAAAGGGGUGUCGCGGGGGUCCCGAUUCACACGGGCCCUUCCGGCCCGCAGGGAAGGGCAACCCCGGGAACCGGCACCAGGCCCGCGGCGAUGGAGGGGCGGCUGAGAGACUGGCCCCGCCCCGCGGACCCCGCGCGGGUCCCCAGACGGGGGGUGGCGCUGCGGGCGCGGGCGGGAGCCGCGCGCACUGCGGUCCCCGCGCCUCCGCCGCAGAGCGCGCCACGCUCCGCACGCACCUGCCGCCGCGCCGCGCUGCCCGGAGCCCCGCGCCCCGCGCCCCGAGCCCCGCGCCCCCGGGAGCCGCCGUGCCGCGCCAUUGCCCGAGGUCGCCGCCGGAGCCGCCGGAGCCGCCGGGCCGAGGCGCGGGCGUCGCAUCCGGGCCUGCCUUUGAGACAACCUCUGCGGCGGCGGCGCGCGCGGCCCGGGGACGCCAGGCUGGGGCAGCUCGGGCCUGGUCCAGGCCUCUCUUCUGCUCCCGCCGCCGCCGCCGCCGCCGCCGAGCCCGCGGCCUGGGGCCUCCCGCAGCCUGGGCUCAGGCUAGCUGCCUUCCCUGGGAGCCUUGUCCUGGAGCCAUGGGGC